UACGUAGAAGACUAGUGUUAUUCAUCUUUAGGUAGGUUUAAAGGGUACCUAGACGGUAAGUAUUGAGUCUUAAACAGGAUACGGAUUUUACUAGAGUUAUAUAUGAGGAGGGGAGUAUUUGAUGGAGUAGAGUUGAAAUUCGGUUAUACCAUAACGACUGGUGACGGCGAAAGCAACCUUUUAUCUAAUAACUGACGUUGAGGGACGAAGGCUCGGGUCACGAACCAGGAGU
rnacentral:rRNA from 1 species